AACGAACGCUGGCGGCAGGCCUAACACAUGCAAGUCGAGCGAACCCUUCGGGGUUAGCGGCGGACGGGUUAGUAACGCGUGGGAAUAUACCCUUUGGUACGGAAUAGCCUCGGGAAACUGAGAGUAAUACCGUAUGUGCCCUUCGGGGAAGGAUUAUCGCCAAGGAUUAGCCCGCGUUGGAUUAGAUAGUUGGUGGGGUAAGUGGCCUACCAAGUCUACGAUCCAUAGCUGGUUUGAGAGGAUGAUCAGCAACACUGGGACUGAGACACGGCCCAGACUCCUACGGGAGGCAGCAGUGGGGAAUCUUAGACAAUGGGCGCAAGCCUGAUCUAGCCAUGCCGCGUGGACGAUGAAGGCCUUAGGGUUGUAAAGUCCUUUCAGAUGGGAAGGAUAAUGACGGUACCGAUCAGAAG
rnacentral:rRNA from 1 species